rnacentral:rRNA from 1 species
AUUGAACGCUGGCGGCAGGCCUAACACAUGCAAGUCGAGCGAGCGGCGGACGGGUGAGUAAUGUCUGGGAAACUGCCUGAUGGAGGGGGAUAACUACUGGAAACGGUAGCUAAUACCGCAUACCAUCAGAUGUGCCCAGAUGGGAUUAGCUAGUAGGUGGGGUAACGGCUCACCUAGGCGACGAUCCCUAGCUGGUCUGAGAGGAUGACCAGCCAAACUGGAACUGAGACACGGUCCAGACUCCUACGGGAGGCAGCAGUGGGGAAUAUUGCACAAUGGGCGCAAGCCUGAUGCAGCCAUGCCGCGUGUGUGAAGAAGGCCUUCGGGUUGUAAAGCACUUUCAGCGAGGAGGCGUUACUAGCAGAAUAAACACCGGCUAAGUCUGUGCCAGCAGCCGCGGUAAUAC